GGUCCCCCAAGUCUGCACAGGUAAUGCUUUGUGUGCCCUGCCGAAGGACCUUAACAGAAUAGGUGCAUGGAGGUCGUCGGUUCCCCAGUCUGCACCAGUAAUGCUUUGUGUGCAACAGCCGGUGGUCGUGAGUAUAACCAGAGAAUAUAAUGACCUCUCUGGUACAACUUUAGCUAACAACUUUAGAUAGCUACCUACAUAACCAGCAAUAAUGCUAUCUUUUCAAAAAGCGAGGCAGGCUAGCUAAUGUUAGCUAACAACUUUAGAUAACAUUAUUGCUGACCUGCUGUAUGGGAUGAAAACAAGACCAUUUGUCACUCUGAUCAACUGUAGGCGACUGACUGUAUGUUUGUUUUUACUCCAUGUGUAACUCUGUGUUGUUGUUUGUGUCGCACUGCUUUGCUUUAUCUUGGCCAGGUCGCAGUUGUAAAUGAGAACUUGUUCUCUCAGCUGGCCUACCUGGUUAAAUAAAGGUGUUCUCAACUGGCCUACCUGGUUAAAUAAAGGUGUUCUCAGCUGGCCUACCUGGUUAAAUAAAGGGGAAAUAAACUAAAUGAGAGCAGAUGCGUACAGCCUAUGUGCGCUGUCCAUUUGGUCAGGGUAACAUUAUGGAUUAUGUAUAGUCCAUUUGUGUGUCAGGAGAAAAUGUGAAUGUGAUCAAAUUUGGUUUAUAUAUUCAAAAUUGGGAUGGUUAGGCUGCCUAUACGUUUUCAAUCCAAAAUGAUUCACUGGAAUUAACCAAUCAACAUAAUAGUGAUGACAGAUGUGUGUAAAUGUUUUAUAAGGCCUACAGUUGCCUGUGUUUUAACUUCAUGAAGAAACGUGUUGUUCCAAAGCCUACGAUGGCGCAGCUGUAGUGGAAUGUAUCUGCUAUUUGUAUUUCCAGCUUAAGUCCCCUCCUGUUCCCUGAUUUUAAGAGGUGAUGACCACUCCACUCCACGAGCACUGUCAACUCUCUCCUGAUAUGAACUGAAGCCGCGUCUCAUGUGCCACGCACAUCCACUAACACAUUGAAUGUUUCCUCUUGUUUGAUUGGAGGUUCAACUUGGAACAUUGUUAUAUUCAGAAGUAUAGGGACAUUAGUUACUAAAGAGACAUGAGGGGGGGGGAGCCAUAAUGAAGAUUGGGAGGGGCUGAGCGCAGGGAAAACAAUUGCAUGUGACAGUACUGAUAAGGGGAGAAACCAUUGAAGGCUCCUAUCACUUAGUUCCCUGCUUAGCAAGAAUGAUGCAAUAUUUAGCGAUAAGGAGGAGAGUCCACCCAAAGUGGGGUAUGAAUACUACCACAGGGGAAGUCAUGUCUGUGUCUGAAUUACAGCUGUACCGACCCUGUGGGAAGAAUUUAACUUGGUUAAGCUUUUCUAGCGUCCGUGAGUUAUUUACAAAAAUGUUAAAUCAGAACCUAACACUCCAAGAACUUCAAGCCUCUGAACACCUCAACCUAAAUUCAGCCACUGCUGUGAUCCCUUCCCAAUACUGUGUAAGUAGCCCUCUCAUUCCCCAUAAUAUUGUACUAUAAAUGUCUUUAUUAAAUGCUUUAGGUUUAAAAAAAAAAGAAAUCAUUUUGAAACACACUUUGUCGUCUCCGUGUGUUCCAAGUCUAGAGCGUGGGUCUCCCAUCGUCCUCAAAUAUUCAAGUCACCAGCCUCCACUGAUUGGAACAUAAACAUUUGUUUUCAUCAAAAUGCCUUCUGGAACAUGUGAACUUUAAUUGACCUUAAUAACAAACUGUAAAUAUGCCAUCUGUAAAUAAGUAUACAAUUGUUAAAUAACAAGCCUAGUUGGUUUAGCCACUGAAAAAAAGACAGCCCUGAUUGGCUGAGAUAAUGGAUGGGCUGGACAUGCCGAGAGAUUUGUUUGGAUUGGUCUGCCAUGUAGCAUGAUUCUGUCUAUAUAACAUGCGCUGCUCAGUAUUUGUAGAUAAUCCUUUAUUUUUUUGAAAGAUAUCAUGAAGAACUGCAGUUGUAUUGCUACUGCUCACAACAGAAUUUAUCAGGCGCCAUCGACUAAAGAUCAGUGGGAAAACGUUAUGAAGGACUAAACGUUGUGAAGGACUACUUUCUGGAGGACGGUCGUGCCAUUGUGACUCUCGGACUCUGAAAACGAAUCAGACGAUGAGGAAAAUCCCAGAUUUUUACGGAGAAAAAAACAAACAUUUUUUAUUGAAUCAGACGUUGUAGUCUUCUGGUGACAGUGAUGGGUAAGAAACGGCUAUCAACAGUGUUGUUGUGAAGGAAGUUGACAGAGUUUUGAAAUUCAGUGGAAUGCCCGUUGGAAGCCGUGUAUGAUUGCAAAUGCGGUGGGAGUCGAAAAGAGAACACAGACAGCUGUUGUAUAAAACACCUGUCUCUGGAUUAUAUCUUCAAACUAAGCGCAACCAUUGCGUCUAAGAGGGAGAAGUGUUCAUCUAUGUAUAUUAUAGUCUAGCUACAUUUUCAGAUAGUUAAAGUCUACUGUUCGCUAGGAAGACAACUGGGAACUCUGAAAAAUACGAGGUCAAAUCAUGACAUCAGUGAUCUUCAGGUCGGAGCUCGAGAAUUUGCAUUGCUAGUUAUAGCCUCAUGUUAGCUAGCUAACAUUGAAUCUAGUUGGUUAGCUUUAGAAACCUGCAGAUUCACGCAUGGUAGUAUGGGUUAGGAUCAUGAGUCUAAACAAAAAGACUCCACUAUGCCAGUAACUGUUUCACUGUCCCAUUUACACCUUCUGUGUCCUGUGAAUGUGACAAAUAAACUUAGAUUUUA